CCUAUGGGGCACAAAAAGGCAAACUCCCAAUGACUUGGCCUAAUGUAGCAGGCUUGAAUGAAUCUAUCGACCCAGCACUACUGAAUGCAUUGCCUUUGGAUGCUCCAAACUAUCAGCAACAAUUUCAGAUAUUGAAUUGUCAACCAGAGAAAUCAAAUAAGGGGUUGUCACUUGUGCC